CCUACGGGAGGCAGCAGUGAGGAAUAUUGGUCAAUGGACGAAAGUCUGAACCAGCCAAGUAGCGUGAAGGAUGACUGCCCUAUGGGUUGUAAACUUCUUUUAUAUGGGGAUAAACCAGGGUAUGCAUACCCUCUUGUAUGUACCAUAUGAAUAAGGAUCGGCUAACUCCGUGCCAGCAGCCGCGGUAAUACGGAGGAUCCGAGCGUUAUCCGGAUUUAUUGGGUUUAAAGGGAGCGUAGGUGGUUUGUUAAGUCAGUGGUGAAAGUUUGCGGCUCAACAGUAAAAUUGCAGUUGAAACUGGCAGGCUUGAGUACAGUAGAGGUGGGCGGAAUGCAUGGUGUAGCGGUGAAAUGCUUAGAUAUCACGAAGAACACCGAUUGCGAAGGCAGCUCACUGGACUGCAACUGACACUGAUGCACGAAAGUGUGGGUAUCAAACAGGAUUAGAUACCCCAGUAGUC
rnacentral:rRNA from 1 species